rnacentral:rRNA from 1 species
UACGGAGGAUGCAAGCGUUAUCCGGAUUCAUUGGGUUUAAAGGGUGCGUAGGCGGGAUGAUAAGUCAGUGGUGAAAUCCUACAGCUUAACUGUAGAACUGCCAUUGAUACUGUCAACCUUGAGUACAUUUGAAGUGGGCGGAAUGUGUCAUGUAGCGGUGAAAUGCUUAGAUAUGACACAGAACACCGAUAGCGAAGGCAGCUCACUAAACUGUAACUGACGCUGAGGCACGAAAGCGUGGGGAU